AAUCUUCCGCAAUGGACGAAAGUCUGACGGAGCGACGCCGCGUGAGUGAUGAAGGUCUUCAGAUCGUAAAACACUGUUGUUAGGGAAGUACAAGUAUCGACCGAAUAAGUCGGCACCUUGACGGUACCUAACCAGAAAGCCCCGGCUAACUACUUGCCAGCCGCCGUGGUAAUACGUAUGGGUCGAGUGUUGUCCGGAGUUAUUGGGUGUAAAGGGCGCGCAGGCGGUCUUUUAAGUCUGAUGUGAAAUCUCGUAGCUUACCUACGAGCGGUCAUUGGAAACUGGAAGACUUGAGGACAGAAGAGGAGAGUGGAAUUCCACGUGUAGCGGUGAAAUGCGUAGAGAUGUGGAGGAACACCAGUGGCGAAGGCGACUCUCUGGUCUGUAACUGACGCUGAGGCGCGAAAGCGUGGGGAGCGAACA
rnacentral:rRNA from 1 species